rnacentral:tRNA from 1 species
GGAGGGUACAGCUCAGUGGUAGAGCACAUGCUUAGCAUACAUGAGGUCCUGGGUUUGAUCCCCAGAACCUCCA